CAGUUAAUUACCAGCCUUAAGGUUCUGUUUGGCUUCGUUGUGAAGUCUAUUGCUUCCCCUCAUCCUCAUGUGCUGUUUUGUGUUGUGUUUUUUCAGUCGAACCUGCUGAAGCGGCGAGCCUCGCGAGCACCACCGACAAGUAUCAGGAGCACCUUUCCUCCAGUACAUUGUAAAUAAAAAGGAGUAUACAUAUUUGUCGUAAGGAUUUGUUCGCUCGUUGGCGAUACCCUGUCCUAUGUACCGAUUUGAGAAUGUUGUUGUGUUUGCUUCGACUUUGUGUACAUGUGUAACUUGAUAAUAAAUUCGUGCGCUCUAGUCUAUUUGAGGUUAUUCUUUGCCUCGUUUCCGAGUUAAUCAGGGCGUAGACCCUACUGCCCAAACUUGAAACUCCAGGUCAACGGAAUCGGUUCGCUGGCAUGUUAAUGCAAGCAACAUUUCAAACAUGGCAAAUAUGUUUGGCCACUGUUCUUGCGCAUUGUCGUGUCAUUUCGUGGGCUUCAAAAUUGAACCACUGGAAGUUUUUGGAAAGGCAUUUGUGAAUUUUGGUGAAGUGGAAG
rnacentral:lncRNA from 1 species